rnacentral:rRNA from 1 species
UGGGGAAUAUUGCACAAUGGAGGGAACUCUGAUGCAGCGACGCCGCGUGAACGAAGAAGGCUUUCGAGUCGUAAAGUUCUUUUAUAUGGGAAGAUAAUGACGGUACCAUAAGAAAAAGCCCCGGCUAACUACGUGCCAGCAGCCGCGGUAAUACGUAGGGGGCUAGCGUUGUCCGGAAUCACUGGGCGUAAAGGGUUCGCAGGCGGAAAUGCAAGUCAGGUGUAAAAGGCAGUAGCUUAACUACUGUAAGCAUUUGAAACUGCAUAUCUUGAGAAGAGUAGAGGUAAGUUGAAUUUUUAGGGUAGCGGUGAAAUGCGUAGAUAUUAAAAAGAAUACCGGUGGCGAAGGCGACUUACUGGGCUCAUUCUGACGCUGAGGAACGAAAGCGUGGGUAGCAAACAGG